UACGGAGGGGGCUAGCGUUGUUCGGAAUUACUGGGCGUAAAGCGCACGUAGGCGGCUUUGUAAGUUAGAGGUGAAAGCCCGGAGCUCAACUCCGGAAUUGCCUUUAAGACUGCAUCGCUAGAAUUGUGGAGAGGUGAGUGGAAUUCUGAGUGUAGAGGUGAAAUGCGUAGAGAUGUGGAGGAACACCGAUGGCGAAGGCAGCCUCCUGGGCCAACACUGACGCUCAUGCACGAAAGCGUGGGGAGCAAACAGG
rnacentral:rRNA from 1 species